rnacentral:rRNA from 1 species
GAUGAACGCUGGCGGCGUGCCUAAUACAUGCAAGUCGAGCGAACAGAUAAGGAGCUUGCUCCUUUGACGUUAGCGGCGGACGGGUGAGUAACACGUGGGUAACCUACCUAUAAGACUGGAAUAACUCCGGGAAACCGGGGCUAAUGCCGGAUAACAUAUAGAACCGCAUGGUUCUAUAGUGAAAGAUGGUUUUGCUAUCACUUAUAGAUGGACCCGCGCCGUAUUAGCUAGUUGGUAAGGUAAUGGCUUACCAAGGCGACGAUACGUAGCCGACCGGAGAGGGUGAUCGGCCACACUGGAACUGAGGCACGGUCCAGACUCCUACGGGAGGCAGCAGUAGGGAAUCUUCCGCAAUGGGCGAAAGCCUGACGGAGCAACGCCGCGUGAGUGAUGAAGGGUUUCGGCUCGUAAAACUCUGUUAUUAGGGAAGAACAUAUGUGUAAGUAACUGUGCACAUCUUGACGGUACCUAAUCAGAAAGCCACGGCUAACUACGUGCCAGCAGCCGCGGUAAAAC